GAUCAGAACAAAGGGAAGAGAGAUCCAUCAUGAAGAAUCCCCUAGCUACCACUUGAGAUGGAACAAGAGCUGUUCCAGGGGAAACAAUUGUGCCCAAGCCUGCAAGGUGUCCAGUCUGAGAAAAAAACUCACUGAACGA